UUUUUUUUUUUUGUUUUUGUUUUUUUUUUGUUUUUUUUUUUUAAAGAUUUACGUAUAACAAACAAACACUACAAUUGCUAAAUGUAAAUCCAUGCUUAUAUGUUAGUCUAAUUCAUCAUCAUAUUUGAAUUGGUAUAUCCUCUUGCACUAACUUUCAUGUUAAAAAUGAGCUAUCUCCACUCUUGUUGAUGACGCAGUAUUCAGUUUCAAAGUAAUAUUGCACAUGUAUGAUGAACAUCUUUUCUAAAUAACUUCUUAAAUUUUGUUUUCAGUUAUACAUGUAUUUAUCGGACUUAUUUGGAUUCAGAUUCUUUCCAACCUGAUUUUGAAUUGAAAAUAACUUCAUUAUUGAUUACAAAAAAUAAUUCCACUUUCAUGGUUUAAUUGCUAUUUACAGAUAAUUAUGCACUGGAUUCUGUAGUACAAGUCAUUCAGAUGCAUGUUUAUGUGUGUAUUUAAAUGAUUUCUGGUAAGGUAAUGAAAUGGAUGUAAAGCGUUUCAUAAUCCUGCAUUAUUGGUGUGUUUUGACAUGUGGCAUUUGUUAGUAUAUGUGGUUAUGUGUAAUUUUCUUUUUUGUCCAGUUUGUUUGUUCCUUUCUAUUAUAAAUGACUUACAUAUAUGUAUCAAACUAUUGAUUUGUUUCAUUUCAGUUGUAUUUUAAAAAUAUUUCAUACACUAUUUAACUGGAACACAACAGUAAGUUAGUUGCGAAAUAACAAUUGAACACUUUAUACCGAAAACUACCAUUACAACUGUUUUCACAUUUUCUACAAAAAAUGGUCUUUUCUAUAACAUGACAUCUGUAAGAGAAAAAAAUGCAUACUCAUGUAGAGCAUUUAAUGAUCCAGGGACCGGAGUAGAGCGGAUCAAAAAUCCUUGCCUUGGGAAGAUGGGUGGGAGCUAAACAUGGUAUAAAGUGUUUGUCAAAUAUUUGAAUAGCAUAGCCUUAAAUGCUAUUGAUUGAUUGUAUCUUGUUUAACGUUCUUCUCAAUAAAUUUUUAAUUCAUAUGGAGACGUCACCGAGACCGGUGAAGGGUUUCAAAUUUAGGCCUAUGCUCGGCGCCUACGACCAUUGAGCAGUGAGGGUUCUGUAGCAUGCCACACCUACUGUGACACGGGACAUCCGUUUUAAAGGCCAUCUCCGAGGACCCGUGACAUUAUCACCUGAUGCCGAGAGUUUGGUGAUGGAACUGUCACUACCUGUUUAACGAACUAGGUCUGUCGCGGCCGGGAUUCGAACCCCGACCGCCCGCAUACAGAGCGAACACUUUACCUCUGGACCACCACAGCGGUGGUGCAACUUCCUGGAUGUUUGUCAACAUGUGAAACCCACGUGUAUUUUGAGGUGCGACAGUAUGUCUCCAGGUUAAGUGAUUGUGUAGAUUGAUUCCCAGCAUAACGAUGAUUUGCCAAAAGAGCAUAUGAAUAGAAAAUUGGUGAUGCUUAAAAAUAUCAGCAGAAUACAGAAAUUAAGAGACACAGAUGGACAAAAACCCUCUAUCUAAUAUAUUUACAUAUUAGGCCUAUACAACUAGAACAUGUAACAAGUGAAAUUUAAAUGUAUGCAUAUAUUUACUGUAAAUGUAUUAUAUUCAGCGUGUACGAUGUUUGGUGGAAAUUGAUUUUUGAACAAGUUAGCGUGAAUUUGAUUUAGCGAAUUCCUUUUUGUUUUUUUAUGUGUAGAGUGUAAGACAUUUAGCGUUGUAUUUGAAUGAGCGGAAGUUGCUUUCCGCCAAAGGCGCUAAAAAGAAUACACAACCAAAUGUAAUACGUUUACAGUAUUAGAGCUGUUUUAAUGUAUACAAUUGUGUGUACAUGGUUGCUUGUUUGUUGACUCGGUGUAUAGAACAUGUACUACUAUAAUGUACAUCUUUCAUGUGUUAUUUCAAUGUGAUGUUGAAUCACAUUUAAAAUACAGCAAAGCUUUUACAGCUGAAUCCUGUUGGGGUUUUUUUUUUUAAUUAUGUACAGUUUUGAUUCCCAACAGAUCAAAAAAUAAACAUAGAGAAUUC